UACGUAGGUGGCAAGCGUUGUCCGGAUUUACUGGGCGUAAAGGGCGUGCAGGCGGUUUGUUAAGUGCAGAGUGAAAGCUCCCGGCUCAACUGGGAGAGUCUUUGCAUACUGGCAAACUCGAGGGAGGCAGAGGAAAGUGGAAUUCCCGGUGUAGUGGUGAUAUGCGUAGAUAUCGGGAGGAACACCUGUGGCGAAGGCGGCUUUCUGGGC
rnacentral:rRNA from 1 species